rnacentral:rRNA from 1 species
AGAGUUUGAUCCUGGCUCAGAUUGAACGCUGGCCGCAGGCCUAACACAUGCAAGUCGAGCGAGAAAGCACUUCGGUGCGAGUACAGCGGCGGACGGGUGAGUAACGCGUAGUAAUCUACCCAGUAGUGGGGGGCAACUUGGGGAAACCCAAGCUAAUACCGCAUACGCCCUAAGGGGGAAAGCGGGGGCUCUUCGGACCUCGCGCUAUUGGAUGAGCCUGCGUCGGAUUAGCUAGUUGGUGGGGUAAAGGCCUACCAAGGCGACGAUCCGUAGCUGGUCUGAGAGGAUGAUCAGCCACACUGGAACUGAGACACGGUCCAGACUCCUACGGGAGGCAGCAGUGGGGAAUAUUGCGCAAUGGGCGAAAGCCUGACGCAGCCAUGCCGCGUGUGUGAAGAAGGCCCUAGGGUUGUAAAGCACUUUCAAUUGGGAAGAAAAGUUGGUCGUUAAUAGCGGCCAACCCUGACAUUACCUUUAGAAGAAGCACCGGCUAACUCCGCCAGCAGCCGCGGUAAUACGGAGGGUGCGAGCGUUAAUCGGAAUUACUGGGCGUAAGCGCGCGUAGGCGGUUUG